rnacentral:rRNA from 1 species
UUUGCCUACGGGGGGCAGCAGUGGGGAAUAUUGGGCAAUGGGCGCAAGCCUGACCCAGCAACGCCGCGUGAAGGAAGAAGGCUUUCGGGUUGUAAACCUCUUUUGUCGGGGAGCAAAGAGGCCACGUGUGGUCAAAAGCGAGAGUACCCGAAGAAAAAGCAUCGGCUAACUCCGUGCCAGCAGCCGCGGUAAUACGGAGGAUGCGAGCGUUAUCCGGAUUUAUUGGGUUUAAAGGGUGCGUAGGCGGGACG